rnacentral:lncRNA from 1 species
CGUUCAAUCAAUGACCCCUCCUAUCUUUGGAAUCAGUUAACCAUCUUUUUGUUCACUUCAAAACUGCUAAGCAAUUUUGGGCGCUCUUUCUGAAUCUUUGUGGUGUCACUAUAACUAUGUCUUCAUAUAUCAGGAACUUAAUGGAUAGCUGGCAGAAACAAACGAUGGCAACUUUCCAAAAGCAGCUUGGGAGGACCACCCCUUUGUGCAUCCGGAUCAUUUAGAGCGAAAGAAUUAGAGCUCAUUUUGAGAAUAAACGGUGUCACAUUUCUAGAACUAAGAACUUAUGACUGUGUGAUCUAUAUUUCUACUGUAAUACGUGUUUAUCAGAUAGUAAGGAUCAAUACUUAGAGUUAUUGAAUCUGCUACGAAAUACUUAAUAGGGGAUUGUUUAUAGGUGAUGUCUGGUCUGUUUGUACUCUUGUGUACCUUCUUGGUACAUUCUUGCUAAUAAUACAUUACCU